UACAGAGGGUGCAAGCGUUAAUCGGAAUCACUGGGCGUAAAGGGCGUGUAGGCGGUCAGGUAAGUGAGAUGUGAAAUGCCCCGGCUCACCCGGGGACCGGCAUCUCAUACUGCUUGGCUUGAGUACGGGAGAGGAUGUGGGAAUUCCUGGUGUAGCGGUGAAAUGCGUAGAUAUCAGGAGGAACACCGGUGGCGAAGGCGCACAUCUGGCCCGAUACUGACGCUGAGGCGCGAAAGCUAGGGGAGCAAACGGG
rnacentral:rRNA from 1 species